CAGUGCUUGAUGUUUUACCUAUUAUAAUAGUUAAGCUCACUGAUCCUACUGAAAUACUUAUGUCACUGAUCUUCUCUUCCGGGUGUUCAACAACUAAAGUUUGGAGACUAAAACUAGAAAAGUAACUGGGCUAUGAGGACGGCCAAUAUUUUGGCCCUGGCCCCUCAAGGUCAAUAAAGAAUCCAGGACAUGAGAGAACCUUUUCUACAGGAUCCUACAUCUUUGAGGCUGCCAAACUCCAAGCAGUUGUACAAAUGGAACCAAUGACAAAUGUGCUAGACUUCUUUUACUGGGAUUCAGAAGAUCGACCUUGUAAACAGCUCAUAACUGCUAAACUAUACAAUACGACUCCUAUGUUGGAUUCUGAAGUCCCCUGGACCUUCUCCUUAUCCUCUUUGUGGGAGGCUACCACUAGUUUCUCCUGGUGGAAACCAUUGUUGGCUAUAUUCAUAGCAAUCCUGCUGACCUUAUAAUUUGGCCCAUGUAUUAACUGUUUCUUUGGCUUUGUCUCCUCCAGACUCAAAGCUAUAUGGCUACCAAGAUGACAAUGCCUGGCACCUACUGAAGGCCUUUAGAUAGACCCUCUGUAGAGUAAUUCUGACUGCUGAUCACAACUACGACCCUCUUCAGGCAGAGGUAGCCACAUUGGUCUUUGUCCUUUGCCCCCUCACAGCAGUUAGGGGUACUUCUUCAGAGGGAAGAAUAAUGCAGAUAGGCACUUAUUGAAAGCUACGAGAAGGGAGCCAGAGGCCCACCCAGAUUCCUUCAGUAAGAGCGAGCAGAUCCCUGUGAGAAGCCUACAUGGACCAGAGCUGCACUGGUGUGCACAGGUCCCAGCCAGGGCCCCACCCAGACCCCAGUAGCUUGAGCCCAUAGGCUCCAACUAAAGACCUGCUUUGAAAAGAGCUAUGCAGGCAAGGAAGCAACAGCCAGAGGCCCACCCAGAUAAUACUGCUAAGUGUGUACAGACCCCAGCUAGAAGCCCACUCAGACCAGCGACUUGGGUACAUGAUUCCCAGCCAAAGGCCCUCCUGGACAACAGCUACGCAGGGAGGCAGGCCCCAGCCAGAGGCAGGCCCAGAUACCAUCCCAAGUGUGCACAGGCCCCAGCCAGAACCCUGCCCAGACAACAGGGCACCCUAGGGAUCCAGAAGGCCACCAUUAUGAACCCAGGAAUUGCCACAGUGGUAAACAGCAGAAAAAAGGCCUUUCAGUGGCUUGCUGAGAAAUGAAAACCACUAGACAAGCAAAAAGUCACCUCAUCAAAGGUGUAACAGGCUGUAUCUGUGAAAUAAGAAGACACCUAAACAAGUCUCAAAACCAGACUUCCAGAUCACCUAAGGCAACCUCAAAGGGCAACGACAUGGAACAAUCUGAUACUCAACCACUUGGAGUCCCUGAACUGCCAACAAAAGAGAAUUCAGAAAAAAUGAAAUCAGAAAUAAUUUCUCAGAUAACAUCAAAGAUUGUGUCCAUAGUGCAAGAAAUGAUUAAUAACUUUAGAGCAGACACAGAUAAAAAAAAUAGAGGACCUGAGAAAUAAGCUGGAAUCCCAGCAUAGGAAAUAAAUGGAAUCCAUAAAACAAAUGCAAACAGAUUUCCAGGAGAUUAAAAACAUUGAUAAUUUAUGCAGCAGAAUGAGCCAAUGUGAGGACAGAAUAUCAGAUAUAGAAGACAGGAUUAAAAUUAGUGACCAGGAAAAAAAAAAUUUCUUAAAAAUAGUAAGGGACCAUGAGAAAUCAAUCCAGCAGCUGCUAGAUAUGCAAAGAAGUCAAUGAAGAAACAGAAGAGAGUACAAAUGACUUAAAAAAAACUGUUCACAGAAGUGAUGGCAGAAAACUUCCCAAGCAGGACAAAAGAACUUGACAUACAGAUAAGUGAGGCAUAUAGGACUCCAACUAGCCAGGAUCAAAAAAACCUACACCUAGACAUAUAAUAGUUCAGAUUCCAGAAACCCAACAGAAGAAUAAAAUUCUACAAGCAGUUAGAGAAACAAAUCACAUACAAAGGAAAGCCCAACAGAAUCACAGCAGACUUCUCAACACAAGCCCUCAAGGCAAGAAGACCCUGGAGUAAAGUAUUUCAAGCCCUAAAAGAAAACAACCUCCAACCCAGAUUGAUGUAACCUCCAAAACUAUCUUUCAAAAUCAAUGUAUAAAUAAGAUACUUUCAUGACAAAGAGCACCUGAGGAACUUCAUGAAUACCAAACCAGCACUCGAAAAAAUUUUAGAAAAUAUCCUAGGAAAAGACACCGAGAAUCACAACCCCAGGAAGCCCAGUAGAAUGAAUCCAUCAGGCACGACAAAAAAUUAAAUGCAAAGCGUGAGAAUCCAACAAAAAGAAAAAGUCAUGACAAGGAUAAGUCAAUACAUAUCAGUUAUAACCAUCAGUGUUAAUGGUCUCAAUUCACCAAUCAAAAGCUAACAGAAGGAAAAGAGAAACUACUCAAAACCUACUCUCAUUUAUCAGAAAGAACAAAAUCUCACUACAUACUAGACUGCACCUGCAUAUUAUAGCUUUAUUUUGAUUUUAUAAUAACAUACUUGUCACUACUUGAAAACACCUCCAAGACCAAUAAACAGUAAAGUCACAGGAACAAUCUACUCCUGACACUGUUUUAAACAACUUUGAUUGGGCAAUAAACUCAGUCAUUUGUACUUGUUAUCCACAGAACUAUUGUUUUCAUUUUUGUCUUGCUCUUCUGACACUCAGCUAUAACACCUCACUGAAAAUACGGGUAUAUUAGCAGCUGUCCACUGCAAUUUGGAAGGGAGUUCUAAGGAAACUAAACACAAAGGCC
ensembl:lncRNA